UCCGGCUUAACGCCGGCAGUCCCCCCAGAGUCCCCGACAUGACUCGCUGGCAACUGGGAGCGAGGGUUGCGCUCGUUGCGGGACUUAACCCAACAUCUCACGACACGAGCUGACGACAGCCAUGCAGCACCUGUCUUGGGACUCCGAAGAGGGGCCGUGGUUUCUCACGGCUUUCCCCAAGAUGUCAAGCCCAGGUAAGGUUCUUCGCGUUGCGUCGAAUUAAUCCACAUGCUCCGCCGCUUGUGCGGGUCCCCGUCAAUUCCUUUGAGUUUUAGCCUUGCGGCCGUACUCCCCAGGCGGGGUGCUUAAUGCGUUAGCGCCGGCACCCGGAGGGUCGCUCCCCCGGGCACCUAGUGCCCAUCGUUUACGGCGUGGACUAC
rnacentral:misc_RNA from 1 species